CCCAGCGCUCUGGACCACGAGUCUUUUGACAUCACGCUCCACCGCAAAGACUCGGAGGGCUUCGGCUUUGUCAUCCUCACCUCCAAGAGUAAACCGCCGCAUGGAGUUAUUCCCCACAAAAUUGGCCGAAUCAUUGAAGGCAGUCCGACCGACCGCUGCGGCCUCCUGCACGUUGGAGAUCGUAUCUCAGCGGUCAAUGGGCGCUCCAUCAUUGAGCUCUCUCACAAUGACAUUGUUCAGCUGAUCAAGGAAGCCGGCAACGUUGUCACCCUCACUGUGGUUCCUGAGGACGAAUACAAAGGCCCUCCAUCUGGAGCAAGUUCAGCUAAACAGAGUCCAGCUCUUCAGCACAGAGCCGUGGGUCAAAGGUCAGCGCUACAGGACGA